rnacentral:lncRNA from 1 species
CCUCAAUCCGUAGGUCAUUUCUUUCCAGAUUAGAAGCAUUCCUUGUAUAAUCUCGGUUCAUUUUUUUGUUCUGCUCUAGUUUUUGAGUGAGUUCUUUUAUCAAUUUCUCAUUUUCUUUCUCCUUUUCAUUCAAGUAUUUUCUCUCACUUACAAAGCUCAGAGUUAAUGAUUUCAGCUUUUCUAACUCUGACGCUAAACUCUGCUCAGUUUUAUCCAGGCGGUCCUCAGAAGAUUCUAGUUCUUUCACUUUGACUCUGAGCAUUUCCAGCUCAGAGGAGAUUUUCUUGGUCAUCAGAACUGCAGUUUUUGAAAGACCAUUCUAGCAGGAUAAACUAGGGUGCUAUUGUAAUAGUCAAGGCAAGAGAUGGGAUAAGGGCCUGAACCAGGACAGUAGCAAUGGGGUAAAAUGGUGGGAUGGAUGAAAGAUGAGCUGGUCUGCCCAGUUCUAAUAAUGAAGUCCAAGAUUGCAUGAACUAAUCUGAUAGCCACAGUACCAAUUUGUAGGUUCAUACUGGCUUUGUUUCCAAAUAAACUGUUAAAUCUCAUUUUUAAUAAUUGAAAUAUGGGGCUUAAUUC